GACUAACGCUGGCGGCGUGCUUAACACAUGCAAGUCGAACGGAAAGGCCCUGCUUGCAGGGUACUCGAGUGGCGAACGGGUGAGUAACACGUGGGUGAUCUGCCCUGCACUUCGGGAUAAGCCUGGGAAACUGGGUCUAAUACCGGAUAGGAGCCAUUUUUAGUGUGAUGGUUGGAAAGUUUUUUCGGUGUAGGAUGAGCUCGCGGCCUAUCAGCUUGUUGGUGGGGUAAUGGCCUACCAAGGCGGCGACGGGUAGCCGGCCUGAGAGGGUGGACGGCCACAUUGGGACUGAGAUACGGCCCAGACUCCUACGGGAGGCAGCAGUGGGGAAUAUUGCACAAUGGGCGCAAGCCUGAUGCAGCGACGCCGCGUGGGGGAUGACGGCCUUCGGGUUGUAAACUCCUUUCGCUAGGGACGAAGCUUUUUGUGACGGUACCUAGAUAAGAAGCACCGGCUAACUACGUG
rnacentral:rRNA from 1 species